CCGAGGCAAACACAGCACAGGGCAGAGCAGAGGGCGAUCCAAAGGCUGGCGAAUUGAUUAUGUGUGUGUUUGUGUUCUCCGUCUGUGGGUUUGUCUCCGUUUUGGGCACACGAAACUGCAAGUAACGGCUAUGUUAGAGCAGGCGUCCCUCUGUCACCCUGUGUACGGACAGACGCACUCACGCCAGUAGGAGGGGAUUGUGGGAAGGGGGUGUAGCUCACAGAGGGUGUGCUCUACUCCUCUCUUUUCCCUUCUUCCCGCCAUCACGGCCCUCUUCUCCUCCAGUCCUCCGGCCCAGCCCGGCGCUCACGUACAGGCUCCAGGUAUUUUUCUUUUUUAUCCUGCGACACCUCUUCCCAUCUUUUUCACAGCCCUAUAAUCUUCUCUUUCAGUCCUCUCGCACUCUUCUCUGUCCUUCAUCAUGGUCUUCCUACUGUAAAUGUGUCUAUCGUCGUCCGGUGCCACGCUGUACUCCAAUCGCCGCCAUUUUGGCUCAAUGGACAUAACAGUAGGAACUUUUCUGGAGCUCAGAGGGACUCCUCGACUCCCUGCUGUCCAUCUUCUUUCUCCUGCUUCCAUUAUGUCUUAUUUCUCUGUCCCUGUCGCCCACUUCCUCUCCCCGGUCUGCUCGAGGUCAGCAGGCUCUGACAGGGAGGUAAACAGUGGUACUGUGGCUUUCUGUACCAAACAGGUGACUCUAUGUAGACUGGCAGGAGGAGGGAAAGGCCCUUGGUUACUUUCUGACCUCAGAAUGUCGACCGAGAGAGUUGUUGUUGGGUUCACGUCAGCACCAGACUAUCUGCGGUCAAAGGACAAGUGGGACACUUGGAAGUCUCUUAUCAUCGCGAGCCGUUGUGAUAGCUCGUACAGAGGCAGUAUUGACUUUGUUUCCCUUCACACGCUGCUUGCACUUUAGGCCACUGUUAAAAUUCAAAUAUGUGGCAGUAUUUUCACAGUUUGUUUGUUUGUGCUUGACUUUUAUAUUUCUGAAAUCUCAAGGUGUGACAGUUGGUUAAAAGGUGGUGACUGCCUUGACCCACUGCGUCGGAGGUUACUGUGUACGAAGCUUUGCACUUCAGAGGAAACUGAUGCAGAUAUGAAACCGAGAGGUGAAACAGACCGCUAAAAGGAAAUGUUUACUGUUGUUGUUCUGCAGUAGAUCAUCUAAUUUAAUCAGUGAAGCUGUUGAUUUAUUUUUAUAGAAGAAAGCAUAGAGUAGCAUUUGUCAGAUUGAUAUGUCGUACUCAGAAAUCUUUGGAUUUUAACCUGCAUUUCUGACUUCAGUCUGAAGUUAGAGGCCUGUAUACCCUGAAACAGGAACAUAGUAUCAAUGUCUGUAUGAGUCAAAACAGGAUAUGCAAAUGAACGAAAAACCAAUUUGAUCUUUCAGGUACUCUCACUGGACUGCCUAAUGUUAAUACUUUAUCUGGAUCUAAAUACGGUUCCAUGUUAAGAUGGCGCCUUCGUGCCACGUGUUUGUGAAACUGUGAAUAUGGGCAGACCCUUUCAACAUGCCCCUCACAAUUCAUGGCUAUUUGACUAAUAAUUCUCUGGCUUCAGCAACUGUGACUUGAAAUCAGCAUUGACAUUCGACAGCUAAAUAAUUAACAAAAAAAUAACCUUUCUUCAUGUAUAUCGACAUGACAGUGACGCGAGGAAAAGGUUAAGAAAGUAGAAGCUGUAGAAAAACAGAGAGAACAAGGGUUACAGAGACAGAAAGAGAGGUAGGAGUGAGAGAGCUCUUUCCCCGCCCCUCUCUUAUCCUCAGAUGAACUUAUCGUGUUGCCUCAUAAUGUUUCUGAGUUUUUCUCCUAGAGGCAGUCAGGCUUACUUCCUGCAUUCAGCCUCAGCAUAGCUGAUUGGUUGAUAUCUUGGCUGACCAGCUGCGGUUUGCAGCGAGGCAACAGGAAGUUUCUCUUCUCAUGCAGGAAGCUGACGCUGCUUUGUCCUGACAUAACCUGAUUUCCCUCUUGUACGCUAAUCUUUGUAUACGAGCACAAAUAUGCAUGCACACCCUGUAUGUGAGCGUUUGUUUGUAUGGCCUGCUCUGUGUUGCACUAGUGAAGGCUGUAACAUGUGGGCGUCUAGCAACAUGCCAGGCCAGGCAUCUGAGCUUUCAGAAACAUUUGAAACCAUGGUAACCACACAUCUCAUCAGCACAUCGGCAAAAGCAUAGACAAGUGGAGAAGAGGAGAGGGCAUAGAGAGAGUAAAUGAAGAGGAGGAGGUAAACCUUUGAUCUACAUUAUCUUCGUUCAGUGGUUUUGGAAACACAUCUGGCCAUCUGGGUAAUUGCAGGCUAUACUUUAGCUAAUACACCAAUGACUCGGAUAUUCCUCCUAAUUUCUUUUAUCAAAUAAUACCUCUCAUUCUCUCAAAUAAAACCCUAUUUAUAUACGUAUUAAAAUGCAUUUUCUAUAGUUACAUACCAAAUCUUGUAGAUUUAGCAGAGUGUGUGCCCUGCCACCUAUUUUCAUACUCAUUUCAACGCAGCUCCACUUCUAUGGUUAAAAUGAUUGUUGAUAGUCAAAACAAGGGCUGCCUUAUAGUCCUGUUUUAUCUUGGGCAUACUAUCCUUUUAUCAAACACGUUGCCUGACAUGUUCACCUUGCUCUGAUGCCUUUGAGCCUUGUGUGGAGCCCUUUACUUUGCAUCACAGAGCAGUCGAUGGCAAAGGACCGGAAGCAUUUUUUAUUUAAUCAGGCUUUAAUAAAUCAGGAUCAGAUACAAUUAGCUUCUUUCAUGUACACAGGUUAAGCAACUGUGCUGUGUCUUCCAGUGUGUGUAACUCCAUGCAUAUGGCAGCGUAUAUCCGUAUACAUGCAAAUACACGAGCAUGAGCCUUAUGUGUUUGCGCUUAGUUAAUGAGGAUAUACAGAACAUCAGAGUGGGCACCUUGCCAAGUGGGAAGACGCUCAGAGCUCCUGUCCUUCGUCCUUUAAUGUAGGAAGCUGGCAUUCCUCAGGGAGUGAGGAAGAUGAAAAAGCAUGUACAAUAAAAUCACCAUAUCGCUCCUCUGAGGAUCAGCCCUCUCUUUCGUAUCUGCCAUAUGCCUCGAUACUAUUUUUUUCUCCAGAGUAAGACUGGACACGAGUAAGACAAGACAUCCAUUUGCAUCUUUUUAGCUGUGGGAAUUCUUAAUUCUGCCGUUUAUUGUGUGGCAUACUUCCUCUGCCAACUCCAGCUCCCCCACUGCUCCUCCUCCUCUUUGCCCACCAUCACCACCUCCUUCCUCCCUUAUUGAAAUUCUGCCUGGCACACAGACACUGCCCAUUAUUGGCACAAAGCUCAGAGAGAGAGAGAGAGAGAGAAACACAGGAACCUGUACCAAUCGUCUGGUGCCCCCUCCGUUGUGUCUGCCAAGCAUUCAUCCCAUCACGCGGACCAAGGGACCAGGCAAUCCAAUAGGUAUUUCCCUGCCUUUGCUUCCUGCUCAAAUUUGCUCCAAUUCUGAGGAGUUUUGUUGGCAACUGAGUCUGCUGUGUGUGUUUGGGGAUUCGCUGAUUAAUUUGUGUGUUUACGUCGUUUGUAUUGGGUGAGGAAUGAAUCCGCGAAACCUGCAUCCUCCAACAGUGUCGGGAGGAAGCUACGGCCUAUUGCUUCCACAAUGCGAUUUGAUUCUCGCAUGGGUUUGGAUGUGCUAUAGAUGAUGAAGUUGCAGUGUUUCUUUGUGUGUUUUGAUAGAACAGCAUGUUGAUGUAAAAAGUCAGUAGAAUAAUCGUUUAGCAGGCAGGCAUUUUUAUUUUAACUAAGUCGAUAUUUUGAUCUUUUUUUGUAGGUGUUCACUUUUGAAUUUUCUCAAAAGCCCUUCAUAUUUUAUAGUUGUGUCAGUGUUAUACAAAUGUACUCAUUUAAAACCAAUGUCUUGUGUUGAAUGCCGGAAUUAGAUUUAGGUAGGGGCUUGAUAGAUGUUGUUGCUGUAGAUCUGUUUAUUAUAGAAAUUACAUUUCCAGUGCUACAACUGACAUGGGGUCUUAGAAAACCCAGAAGAAACAUGUGUAACUGUUAACAAGAGAUAGAUCCUGAAACAGGAAAUUGUAUCCAGAAAAACAUAUCCUGGUUGGUCACAGCAGAGCUGCUUUAUCAAAGGGCAGGAGAGGACAUAACUUGCUAAUAUGAAUUUACUACCAUUUAGCUGUAAUUCUGCUGUGACGGAUGCACAGACAGACUGUCUGAUAGGCAGAUGAGAUUAACUCAAUAGGCCUCUUUUUUUCUUUCCCCUGUCUUUCUUUUAAGAUCCUCUGAGCUGCCCCACUGGCUGAAGGCUCAUUUAUUUUGGAGCUGUUGACAGAGAAAAUGAUUUGCCCCACCAAGCCUUGUGUGCCCCUUUUAUGUGCCAUGGACAAAGUCCACCAUCACAGACAGCGCCCAAUAGAGAUCACAUUACUGACCGAGAUUGGCCUCUGUGUUUGCUAAACAGUCGGGAGUUGUGCAGGGAAACAGAUGCCAAUUUUCGCAAUUAACCCAGAAGCACAACAUUCCCCACUAGUGUUUAAUGUGUAUGCAUUUUUCAUUGGAGGCCAUGCUCAGUCCUGUUAAAUCUUCAUUAGUUUGACCAAUUUCCCCCCAGUACACUGUGUCAUCUCACUAUUAGUCUGUCUUCCAAAUACAGCUCCAGUCAAGGGACGUUUCCCGGCGACCGAACAGAGCUCGUAGAUCUGUCACUGGCACGGUGGCAGAGUUGGGCAUCAUGCCAACACACCCCCACCCCCUUCUGUCUGUCUGGUCUUCUUUAAUCAGACUAGCAGGGUCUACUGCAUGCUAACUAUAGGCUGGCCUGGACCAUGUCUCAGGGGUUGUGGCUGUAUGCUAAUUUAUGCAAGCAGUGUACCUCCUAACCCCUUCUCUGUCUAUCUGAGGCCAAGGUCUGGCAUUUUAGUCUGGCACUCGUUAACCCUUCAGUAGCUGCCAUGUUAACUGGCUGGCCCAUCCCAACCUUUAUCCCAUAAGAGUGGAGUAUUUAGCUGUCUGACGGGGAGCCUAGUCUCAAAUAGCGAGAUUAAUACAAGUUAAGAAAUCAACUUGUUUAGUGCCAACUUUUUGAUCGAAACGAGGGCGGAUCUGUUAAUCGCACCAGUGGCAUAUAUGUACUCCUCCUCUGUGAACUUUUCCUCUGUCUGAUAAGUAUUGUUACAGUUUUUCUCUUACUUUGUAUCCGUGACUGUGAGCGCAUCGUUCGGUCUCUUGGCUUCGUCUCUGUGCUUGGCACAAGAUUGAUUCUCCAUCACAGACACUUUUUCUUCAUCGUGAGAUAGCGUCCUCGGAAAAAAAAGCGGAAAGGUGGACCUUCUAGUGUUUUUAAGCAGAACUAAAAUGGCCGAUGAACGAGACGCCAUUUUGUGUUUCCUUGUUGUGUUUUGGGGGGCAGAAUCCCAGCCUUGUAUUCAAUCAGAGGCAGCUGGUGGAAGCCAUAUUUGCAGGCAUCUGUGUGUGUACCACCGUCUGAGAAGCAGCAGCCAGCCUACACAGGGAUAGCCCACUGAAAUGAGCUCAGUUUUUGGCCAAAAACGGAAACGAAUUCCUGGCACAGAGUCGAGCAUUUUUUUUUUCUCUCUUUCGAUCACAUCCAAGUCUCAGGAAGCCAGUGAGUUGUUUGUUGGGCUUUUACACAUUAGUGCUCUCACUUUCCGAUGUCUGCUAACCGUUAAAUAAUUUGUCUUUCAUUUAUUUUAAUGGAACAAAUUCCUUUAAGACAUUUAACACUGUAUCAAAAAAAAGAAGCUGGGUUUAAUGGUGAAAAUGUGCCGAUAAACAUAAUCAUCUUUUGUUUAGAUUCAUAGACAUUUCUCUAAAAUCUUUUAAAGAAUUGUUGUCAUGAAGCAAUUUUCAGACAUAAGUUGUUUUAUUAAACGAGUUCCAGGAACACAGAAAUUAAACUGAAAUACAAUUAAGCUCUUUGAGUUGGGACCGUCUAAAAUGUAAUGUAAAUAUACACUCAAAAAGGCAGUACUACCCAGUUUUACCUGGCAUGUAUCUUACAGAGAAUAAUGAAGAUAACCCCCCCCUGUCUUUUUUUCUAUGUACCAUUGCAGGAAAAUGACCUUUGAGGAUCUUUGAUGCAGAAGCAAUGUGGAUGCUGUCCUUGGGGCUGAGGUAGUAGAUUGAAUAGUUGUGGGGUUGUGUAACCUCUUUUUGAGAUAACUAUACAAUCUACUGUCUUUCCCAAGGAGACAGCUGAGUCAGCCACUCACCGACUGUCUUCUCCAGAUGGGCAAUCCCGCUUCCAAUCAAAACUUGGAGUUGUCAACAUAUUGUGAAGCAUUGUUAUCUGUGUGCUUGAACAGGUUAAUUAGGUUUGAUGUUCCCGAAUAGGAUGUGGACGUGUGGUGUGUUUGAUUCGGGCUCUUUCAGGGUGAGGUAGUAGGUUGUAUAGUUUGGUGGGUGGGACUGCACCCUGCUCAGGUGAUAACUAUACAGUCUAUUGCCUUCCCUGAGGAGUCCACUGAACAUGAUUCCUCAACACACUCUCAUUUUUGUAUCACAUUUAUUUGUAGAUAACAGGAAGAAAGAGCAAGUUAUAUGAGCAGCACAAAUGUACACAUGAAAUAAUUGAGGCUGUAAAAUGACUGAUAUAUGUACAUCUGUAUAAAGUCUUACUUGACUAAAAUGGGUUGUUCAAUAAUCAGUGAAUGUGAAAGUGUUUUGUCAACUAUUCUGAUGGUGUGAUAGUUUGUGUACAACAGCAGCUAGUGAUUGUGUUAGUCUACAGCAUCCUCUAGUGGAAACUAAUGAGAUAGCUUUGAUACAAAUAAAGUCAGCAGACAAGGAGCAGGCACUGAUUGUAAUGGCAAGUAAGAGAAUGCAUUUUUUUCAAACAAACAAACACUCUCUGGCUGCCAGUAGUUUCCCAGUUGUUUAUGUGUAAUAAAGUCUCAAAUAUUU